CCGAAGGCUGUUUGUGGAGCCCUCCUCUCACCUGAACUUCCCCUACAGGUCAAAGAACUGGGAGAUGUUCCCAGUGAGGCCCGGAUUCAUGACCGGGUAUCACUAUCAUCAAUGUGUGAUUUGCAUAAAGUGGAUGCCCUGAGUGAGACUGAGGCAAAAAAGCCAAUCUGUCAAGCAAGGCUUGAGAGAGCCAACACAAGAUCCCAUGCCGCCUGGUGGGAUUUCUACUUUGG